UGCGCUUGUGUUUCUGGAACCUCACAUGU
rnacentral:piRNA from 1 species